rnacentral:rRNA from 1 species
UCAGGACGAACGCUGGCGGCGUGCUUCAUACAUGCAAGUCGAACGAUAAGGUCUCUUCGGAGAUACAUAAGUGGCGGACGGGUGAGUAAUGUGUAGAGAAUCUGCCUUCAAGCGGGGGACAACAGAGGGAAACUUCUGCUAAUACCCCAUAUGAGCGUACCUGCGAUGGUAUUCUUGAAAGCUCCGGCGCUUGAAGAUGAGUCUGCAUCUGAUUAGCUAGUUGGGGGUGUAAUGGACCACCAAGGCGACGAUCAGUAGCUGGUUUGAGAGGAUGAUCAGCCACAAUGGGACUGAGACACGGCCCAUACUCCUACGGGAGGCAGCAGUAGGGAAUUUUGCGCAACGGGCGAAAGCCUGACGCAGCCAACGCCGCGUGAUCGCAGACGCCCUUCGGGGUGUAAAGAUCUGUCAGUAGGGAAGAACAAUGACUGUACCUACAGAGGAAGCACCGGCUAACUCCGUGCCAGCCGCAGC